rnacentral:lncRNA from 1 species
CAUGCUAUGUUUUAUAAAAGGGGUCAACCUUUAUCCAGCUCAAAGAACACCGGAUAAGUGUUCAUGUUUAUGGGAGCCCAUGUCAGUUGUAUACAGAAGAAUCAUGAGGAUUUCGCUUUAGAGGAACCAAAUUUCGGGGACAAAUGCUUUCAGGUAAAUGACCUUCAAUUUAGGGCUUUGAGUAAUAAUAAUAAAGACAAAGUUAUAUAAUUUUCAUGUUAAAUUCUCUAUUAUACCUUUUAACAUGAACUCACUUCAAUUAUAUAUCAAGUUUCAGUUGUGUUCAUUAUUUGCGAUAAUCUGACUCUAACGUUCCCAUUGAGCCCUCAAUUUUGAAAGUAUACCAUGUUAACCAAACAACUAAGGUUACAUGACUAAAAACUUCCAUAUUACAGAUGAGCUAUAUUUGUUUGGUUUGAUAUUUUUGUUGGUCAAGAGUAGAGGCCAUCUAACCUUUCAAGUUGUAGCACUAAGGGGAAGACUGUAUGAUAUGGUUCCAGUUCAUAGAUACAUUUUAGAGAAUAUUAUCUCUAUUAUCCUAUAUUGUGUAGUAGAUUUUCUAUCUGGUCAUGACUACCAAAACAUACUAAACACGAUUCCUCUAUUUUAUAGGAGACUUUCCAUGUCUUGCUCGUUUUUGUAUUUGUUUCAGAACUUCGUAUCGUCACAGAUUUACUUAAGGACGAGAAAUUCUUUCCAUCCAUGAAGCAAAAGGUGGAAAGUAACUCUUUUUCUGGACCGUGGUAAUAUAUUUAUAGUAUACAAAGUAACUCUUUGUAUACAAGACACUUGUCUGUUAGAAUAUAAUAAGGAUGAUACUUGAAAUUAAUUAAUAAACUAGCAUUCUAGUUUAUUUUAAUGAAUAAUGCUACAGACACAAACUAUUCUACAAACAUUUUAUAAAUUGUUGAUGUGACAUACUCCACCCCAGCAUAUUGUGUGGGGCCGAAGACUACAUUGAAACAAUUUAUUGAUCAAUAUGCUCAGGUGGAGUAUGUCACAUCAGCAGUUUGUAAAAUAGUUUAUCUGUAGCAUUACUCUAUUUUAAUUGACUUGCUUAAUCUGCAUGAAAUCACCAAUUUUGACAUUAUUAAUGGGACAUUGGAUGAAUAUGUACGAGCCUAUAUUUAGAUGUAACAAUAGUCAUUUAAUUUCUAAACACAACAUUAAGUUAAUCACUGUAUUGUUGUGUCAAAUGUUAAUUCUUGUUUUCUUAUGUAGACUUGAUGGACGAGGGAUUGCAGCUGGUACUAAUUUGGUUCACUCGUUAGAGAAAAAAGAAGUGUGAAUCUGGUUCAAAGCUGCUGCAAGGGCUAAAUUCCCUGAUGAGGUUUGCUUUAUUUCCCCAGAACCCAAAACUUGGGUCAACACAAAUGCUUUAGAUCAUAAUAAGACUGCAGCUGUACAUUUAAGCAUGGGUCCUUGAGAAGGUCACUUAUCAUUCCAACGAGUCCUAGGAUUACCUAAAAUGCCAAUUGUAAAUUCUCAAAUCCUGCAGUAAUGCCUUGGAUUUCCAAUGCUUAAUCCCCUGCAGUCUUUUCAACUUCUACAUCCACUUGAUCAUUAUUUAGCAC